AUUGAACGCUGGCGGCAUGCCUUACACAUGCAAGUCGAACGGUAACGGGUCCUUCGGGAUGCCGACGAGUGGCGAACGGGUGAGUAAUAUAUCGGAACGUGCCCAGUAGUGGGGGAUAACUGCUCGAAAGAGCAGCUAAUACCGCAUACGACCUGAGGGUGAAAGGGGGGGAUCGCAAGACCUCUCGCUAUUGGAGCGGCCGAUAUCAGAUUAGCUAGUUGGUGGGGCAAAGGCCUACCAAGGCAACGAUCUGUAGUUGGUCUGAGAGGACGACCAGCCACACUGGGACUGAGACACGGCCCAGACUCCUACGGGAGGCAGCAGUGGGGAAUUUUGGACAAUGGGCGCAAGCCUGAUCCAGCAAUGCCGCGUGCAGGAAGAAAGCCUUCGGGUUGUAAACUGCUCUUGUCAGGGAAGAAAUCUUCUGGGCUAAUACCCCGGGAGGAUGACGGUACCUGAAGAAUAAGCACCGGCUAACUACGUGCCAGCAGCCGCAGUAA
rnacentral:rRNA from 1 species